rnacentral:lncRNA from 1 species
AGCGCGCCACGCACACCAUGCCUUGACCUAUUCGUUGCCAGUCGUGCGAGAUCCAAUCCGCCAAUCGGCGCGCCACCAUGGACAAAGAAAAGCAGUAUGUCGCCGUGAGUGAAACCAUGUCCAUCCUUUGAUUUGGCCUAGCGAAUCAGACCGAUGGUGAAGCACAAGGAGCGGGGGAGGUGUGUGUGGGGAUUCCUAACCGUGGGGAGGCCCAAAUCAACCACAAUUUCUCGACGGAGCUGGGAAACCGCCGCCGUGCCGCAUGAUGUCGGUAUUGGGCCUCUACGACAUGCGAUUCCUAGGUAUGAAGUCCUUACCGAUUUCCUUAAGCCCCUAGCUGCGUUCAACACGAUUUUGUAUGGAGUUUGGUCCACUGUAGUGUCGAUCCCGUGGUCGCCGGCAUGACCGCCGCCGUGCACUAGGUGCCUGCCGCGUCCGACUGCUUUUGUGGGGAAGAGAAUCUGGUGAGCGUUGGAUCCUUUAUGUAGGGUUGUAGUAUGGGGGUGUGGUUGGUCGUUGGAUCGAGCGCGGGCGCUCCGGAUCAGACGAAUGGUGACCCCUUCGAAUGUUGAAAUCACGACCGUUGAUUACUGAUCCAACACACCUUGUAGCAUAUCCUUUCGGGUUAUAACUGAGUACAUUGGAUCUGGAUCGUGCGGCCGAGAUCUAGGGAUACCCCUUCAGCCGACCCAUCUUACAAAAGAGCCCCUGAUGUUGUUAAUAAAUAACCCGCCAUUCCCCGCAGGAUAAACAUGAGUCUUAGAGAAAGAUAUGAAUUAGCCCCUGGGUUUCUGUUUAUUUCACGCACAACCCAGAGUUUUGGUAAAUUAGGGAAAAGAUUUAUAAAUUGAUUUUUGAAUAUAGAAAUAAUCGCAGAAACUUAUUUAAUUCCUAGAAAAUUCAUAUUAACUCCUUUUUAGUCCAUUCUAGUUCCUAUAAUUUUGUUUUAUUAUUGUUCAUCACUCAGUAACACUGUUUUAGUAUGAAACUCAUAAUAGAAUUUAUCUCAUAAUUAAUCUCGUAUCAAAUGCAUAAAACCUUCGGAAAUUCUUAACUCCUCCGUUUUAAUUCCGAAUUGACUCGUUCUAGUUGUGUUAGCUUCAUAUAAAUAUUUACUACACAAUAACAACAUCAAUUAUACCAUGUCGCAUACUUUUAUAUUUAUUUAUCCUAUGUCUACUAGACUACCUCUUCUAAAUCAAAUUUAACCUGUCCAUAACUAUAAUAUGAUUAAAGCAUGAUCUCUAGUCAAGCUAUGAUUAAAGUUUAAGUUGAAUUAAUUAUUUAUUUAUGGAAUAAUCUAUCAUAUGAUAUAGACUAACCAACUUAUAAUAUAGUUUAAUAUUUAAAUCACAUAGAUCUUCUAUAAAAUCGUAACUCCUUAAUCGUAACUCCGAUCUUACUAGUUCUCGAUCCCAUGAUCUCGUAGCAACGCGUAGAUUACUACUAUGCAGUUUGUUAUUAUGUUUGGUGUGAUGUUAAUUUUGUCUAUACCAUGUUAGCUUGUAUUGCUACGACUAGCAGUGAGGUCACGAGAAUCUAAAGAUCAUCAUGGUACUUGGAAUCUCAAGUCCCAAGCAAGUUGUGCCCUUGAUCACUUUUAUUACCCAACAAUGUUCUCUAUAAUCAUUUUAUCAUGCAUAGGCUUAAUUUUUAUGGGACCCAAUAGGUUGCCCUAGACUGCUUAUCUUUUUACCUUGUUCACCCCUGAAUCAUUUUGGUAGUUUUGCUAUUGCUCUAUGGUUUUGGGUUUAAUAUUAUAUUAUAUCCAUGUUCCAAUUAUUCUGUUAUUAUAUUUAUGUUCAUGUCAAGAUCAUUAUUGUAAUUGGAACAUGGAGCUUAACUUGGAGAAACACGUGCCACUACAAGGGUGGAAUAGGACGCCCUUGGCUGACUAACUAGGAAAGCUAGUGGAAGACUACCUUACCCGAAAGGGGCAAGGGCAGUAGGGGAGUAGGCACGCAGGGAGGUUCUCGAGUUGAUUUUGCUGCGAUGGCGGUCAGACGAGGGAUUUUUGCAAGUGCUCUUCCCAUAAACUGUAGCGGGUUUUUGGAAGCUAGUGGAACUAGGUAAAGGCCUCGUAGUGUUACCCUACCUCGCUUCCUUGGUAGAGGUGUACGGGAUUCAUGACCUCUUGGCAGAUGGGUAACAUGGCUUGUGGGUAAAGGGUACAACCUCUGCAGAGUGUAAAAACUGGUAUACUAGCUGAGCUCACGGUCAUGAGCAGCUCAGGACUCUCGCAAGAUUAAACUAUGGAACUAAAUUCAGUUUGUCAUUUGCAUUGCAUGGGAUUAUUUAUUGAUUUUGUUCUAUUAUUAUUAUAGUUUGGUAUUUACUUACAUCUAGUAAUUGCUAAUAAAAUUUUGACCAACUUUAAAAGCAAUGCUCAACUUUAACCAUUCUCUUUGGUAAGCCUUACACCUCACAUGAGCUCCCACCUUUAGUGAGUUCAUGCACAUUAUUCCCCACAACUUGUUGAGCAUUGAACAUGUGUGACCUCACCCUUGCUGUCUCACACCCCCCAUAGGAGAAGAAUAGGUGGUUCAAGAAGAGCCACACAACGAGGAGUUUGACUUAAUCUAGGUGGCGUCUCCCAGUUGACUUAUUGGCGCCAAGGAUGGAUUUUAGUUUGUUUUAUAUUUAUCUUUCAUUUUGUAAGACUUCUGCUAUAUAAUAAGUACUCUGAUGUUAUUGUGACAUUUAUCUCUAUACACAUCUGUUAUUAUAUGUGUUGUCUUCUUUGGCGCAUAUAUG